rnacentral:lncRNA from 1 species
GCUUCAGGUUCUUUAGAGAAAGCUUGCCGCUGGGAAGUUGAUCUUGGCCAAGUGCCAAAAUCAUGUGCAAAGGGGCCUCAUUAGGGAUUCAUGGCAGCCUUCAGCACUAACAAAAAAUGUGACCCAACAGGCUAAAUCAGCGACUAAAAUUAAAAAGUAAGAGACAAAGACAACUUACUUAAUAUUCCUUCCAAAGCAACAUUAAACUUCUUUUGGUAAUUAAACCCUUGUUAGUCUAAUGCAGUGUUCCUCUGUCCUCAAAUGAUUGUACAAUUACUCUUUAAAACUUGUCAAUUUCCCUCCUAAAUACACUUUCUUUCUGCGGCAGUUUACAAAGAUUUUGCUAUAUAAUAAAACCCUAUAUCCACUAUAAUCAGUUCAACAGCAGAAAACAAAAUCGUCAAAAUGCAGACUACAGUAUUCCCUUAAGAUUUCCAUAAAGGCCCUUUUAUGAAUCCAACCCUGGAACAGCCUGCCUUCCACACCACGUUGAGAGCUCAGUGCGUCAGCUCUC